rnacentral:tRNA from 1 species
UUUAAUAUGGCAGAAAAGUGCCAUGAACUUAAAAUUCAUAUAUAAAUAUAAAAUAUUUUAUUAAAA